GGUACAAUGAGCCAACCAAAUUUACAAUGUGGUUUCUUUUUUGAAUAGUUUGGAUUUGACCCAACCUCUACGUAGGAAGAAGGCUGAAGAGACCGAGGCUCGAGUCGACGAAGAAGAAAACUAUGCUCGAGAUGGUUGUAAGAUUAAAAAAAACUGACAAGAUCAACAUAGGGACAAGGUCAUUUUGCCCCUACUCCUACAUGAGGAGUUUGGAUAGUUGAGUCAUAACAAGAAAGCAAAAGAAACGAGAGGAAAAGAAGAAGGGA